rnacentral:tRNA from 1 species
CGGGGAAUAGCACAGUUGGUAGGGCACUUGGUUCGGGACCAAGAGGUCACGAGUUCGAAUCUCGUUUCUCCGA